GCUGACCAAGUGCCAGGCCUCACUGAAGCUGACCUCCACGUUAACCCUGGACACAAGCCGAGCAGGAAGGAUAAUGCCGGCUUGACAACUCCACUGGUUUCUGCUCCCACUGGCCCUACCUCUGUUGGAGGUGUUUGCCAGGCACCCCAUGCGGUCACCAGCGGACAGCCGCUUUCUGCACAAGUUCCAAGAUGGACUCACAGCAGUCCCCGCCAGCCAUGACGCUGAGAUGGGUGUACACCCAGCUCUGGAGGAACCCAACCGCCUGUGGUCUCUCCAUAACGGCUGCAAAAUACUGCUUCAGUUUUGAUUCUUUCAUGGAGGAAGACGUAACUUCAAGUUAAAACCAGCAGGCGCACCGCUCACCCCUGGACGCUGAGGCUAGACACUGGAUGGAAACCGGUUCCUUCCGGCCCCCGGGCCCUGCACCAGAGCUCGACCCCCACCGCCUCACCUGUCCUGAUGGCGUCCUCCAGCCUGGGGUUUCUCUCUCCCUGGAGAAGCUGGUGGUAGUAGCCGGGAUUCUGGUCCAUCUGAGCCUGGGCCCCACUCAGCACCAUCCAGACGCGGGCACGGUGCUCCAGCGGGACCCCUUUCCGGACAUAGCGCUUCACUGAAGGCCGAGAGGACGGACAGCGUGUGAGCUGGACCAGGGGCCUGCGGGGCCCACGCGUUCCUGCCUCACUUUCCACUCUCACCAGUUCUCUUCUUAAAUCAAAUAUUAAAGAGACCCAGAACUUCGUCCAUCUCCACCAAAACUGGUACAUACACUCCUUUAAAAAUUCUGCUCUCCUCUCCCUCUCAACAGAGCACAAACCAGACUGGCUGCAGAACCACCCCCACGCCCACUUCACCAUUCAAUGCAGCAGGUCACAGCCACAGGACUUCCCACGGACUUCCCCUGCUCUUAAAGCAAACUGCAGAACCAAGCGUGGACUUCUGCUCCUGAGGGGGACGGAAGGACAGUCCCCUGCGGUCAUCUCUAUAGGAGAUGGGGGCCAUGGGUGGGAGAGAAACUCCCUGUUGCACUUUGUAGCCCUCAGUAUGAUUAAAGUGUUUACCAUGUACAUAAAUUAUGCUUUUUAGGUUCACAUGUCUUAUAUACUUGUAUGUUACUUUUUAAAAUUAAAAGACAGUUAACUUUUAAGAAUAAA
rnacentral:lncRNA from 1 species